rnacentral:rRNA from 1 species
ACAUGUACGGCCUCAGAAACAAAUGGGGCUGCUAUCAUGCAAGUCGAACGCUUUUUCUUUCACCGGAGCUUGCUCCACCGAAAGAAAAAGAGUGGCGAACGGGUGAGUAACACGUGGGUAACCUGCCCAUCAGAAGGGGAUAACACUUGGAAACAGGUGCUAAUACCGUAUAACACUAUUUUCCGCAUGGAAGAAAGUUGAAAGGCGCUUUUGCGUCACUGAUGGAUGGACCCGCGGUGCAUUAGCUAGUUGGUGAGGUAACGGCUCACCAAGGCAACGAUGCAUAGCCGACCUGAGAGGGUGAUCGGCCACACUGGGACUGAGACACGGCCCAGACUCCUACGGGAGGCAGCAGUAGGGAAUCUUCGGCAAUGGACGAAAGUCUGACCGAGCAACGCCGCGUGAGUGAAGAAGGUUUUCGGAUCGUAAAACUCUGUUGUUAGAGAAGAACAAGGAUGAGAGUAAAAUGUUCAUCGCGUGACGGUAUCU